UGGAACUCUGUCAGGCUAAAAGCAGUCAGCUGAAACUCUCAGCCAAUCACAGCUGUCCAUUGCUGCUCAGGCUAAUACUUCCUUAUUAGCCAAAGCAGCACAGAGGGGAUGGAUUGCCUGGGAUUCUUGUUUAGCAUUAAAACUUUAAAAACUGUUUAAUGCUGAAAGAAGUGAUGGUACCAGAGGACUCCAGACACUAUAACCAGUUUAAUGAGAUGAAGACGAUACAGUGCCUACGGUGUCCCUUUAAGUCCCUAUACAUUGGUUUUAAAUGCUAAACUCACUUUGAAUUCAC